UACGGAGGGUGCGAGCGUUGUCCGGAAUCAUUGGGCGUAAAGGGCGCGUAGGCGGCCGUCCCAAGCGUGCGGUGAAAGUCAGGGGCUCAACCCCGGGUCGGCCGCGGGUACUGCCGGGCUGGAGUGCCGUAGGGGCAGGCGGAAUUCCGGGUGUAGCGGUGGAAUGCGUAGAGAUCCGGAAGAACACCGGUGGCGAAGGCGGCCCCCUGGUUGGAUACUGACGCUGAGACGCGAAAGCGUGGGGAGCAAACAGG
rnacentral:rRNA from 1 species